rnacentral:rRNA from 1 species
AACGAACGCUGGCGGCAUGCCUAACACAUGCAAGUCGAACGAGACCUUCGGGACUAGUGGCGCACGGGUGCGUAACGCGUGGGAACCUGCCCUUAGGUUCGGAAUAACUCCCCGACAGGGGUGCUAAUACCGGAUAAUGUCUUCGGACCAAAGAUUUAUCGCCUUUGGAUGGGCCCGCGUUGGAUUAGCGUGUUGGUAGUGUAAAAGCCUACCAAGGCGACGAUCCAUAGCUGGUCUGAGAGGAUGAGCAGCCACACUGGGACUGGGACACGGCCCAGACUCCUACGGGAGGCAGGAGUGGGGAAUAUUGGACAAUGGGCGAAAGCCUGAUCCAGCAAUGCCGCGUGAGUGAUGAAGGCCUUAGGGUUGUAAAGCUCUUUUACCCGGGAUGAUAAUGACAGUACCGGGAGAAUAAGCUCCGGCUAACUCCGUG